UAAUGUAUGGGGAUCUGCCCGGAUAGAGGGGGAUAACUACUGGAAACGGUGGCUAAUACCGCAUAAUGUCUACGGACCAAAGCAGGGGCUCUUCGGGACCUUGCACUAUCGGAUGAACCCAUAUGGGAUUAGCUAGUAGGUGGGGUAAAGGCUCACCUAGGCGACGAUCUCUAGCUGGUCUGAGAGGAUGAUCAGCCACACUGGGACUGAGACACGGCCCAG
rnacentral:rRNA from 1 species